UUUGUAUGACUUUCACAUAAGUAGUUCAAUUCCCACAAAAAUCUCUAUAAAAUCCUCCAUUAAUUCCAAAAGGAGGCUUGACAUAGUUUCUUUAAUGGGAAGAGAGUUUUUUAAAAAAAACUAAUAGUCACAUCGUUUCGUCUACCAUUGAUUAUAAGUCGUAAUACUUAUUAGCAACUUAAAAAAAUAAUUUGAUGCAUAAAUAUUUUAUAUAUUUGUUAUUUGUGACUUAAAAGCUCCUGGUGAAAAAAUAUUAAAAUUAACUCUAAAAUUAAGCUUUAAUAUUUAAAUGUUCGCUUCGGCUGAUAAGCUAAAUAGAAAAUGACCUAUAAUAAACCAAUUAGCUACUAGCUAAUAUUCGACAUACUUGUAGGACUAGCUUCCACCUUCAAUCCGUGACCCUUGCCAUAGGGAAUAAAAUCUUUGGCCUGUCUCGUAUAGCUUUUUUUUUUUCUGAAAAUCUGCAGUAUAGCUUAUUUUAUUUUUUAAUUGAUUUUUUUCUUUUUUUUUUGGGGGGGGGGGGGGCGUUCACCAUUUUCAUUACCCAUUCUUGUUGCCAUGCUAGGUCAGAAACUGACUAAAAAUCUACUUAAAAUUCGCACAUCAAAUUUUUUUUUUGAGAAAAAACGGUGCAAGUGGAGCCCCAUCGUAUUUUUUGAACCACCCAAAGAACUAAUAAGAGUUUUUUUGGCAACCGGUGGAUAUCAAUAUAUUAAUCCAUUAUGUACAUAAAUAUAAACCUAAAUACUUUUGUGUACCUACACCUAAUAGAUUAACAUGCAUAUGUACAUGUGUAUAUAUUCUAUUGAUUUCUCUUGGGUUAAAGAACCAAGUAUAUGUAAGCCAUAAAGCUGAACUUUCCCAACUUGGUGAAGUUUGUCAAACCUUUAUUAUGAUAUCUUACGUUAUUUUAACUAAAGAUAGACAGGUACCUCUAAAUAUAUAUAUGCUCUCAACAUUUGUUUUGUUUCCAUAAAUUAAGAAAUGGAAUAGGGCUUUGCCCUUUUGAUCU
rnacentral:sRNA from 1 species